CAAAGCCUCCAGGUCCUUUCCAGCGCUCCUGGCCGGCACCAUCCUCGGGUUUAAGGCAAGGGGACACUUCUCCAGCACCCAUCCAGCCUGGAUCUCAUCCUGCACCCACCGGCUCUCCACUCUCAGGGUGUCCUGAAAACACGGAUACARCUGUGUUUGCAUCAAAGCGCUUUGUUCUUUGUGAUGAGCAAGAAUUCUCCCAGUUUAAGUCACAGAAUGCAGCAGGAUGUGGUGACUCGGACUGGAAUCUGCCUAAAUGCAGGCUGUGGGGUGAUUCAGGGAAGGAACAAUGCCUCUCCCCUAAGGAAAAUGGUGUGGGGGAGUUUUUGGAUGGGAUUUUCUCCUCCAUGCCACCGUGGAUGACAGAAAUGAUACUCCCCCAGACAUGCAGAGGCACAGCCAGGCUGAGUGAGGUUUUUCCUGUGUCUGGGAAUUAGAACUCUGGGUGGUUAAUGGAAGGAAUCAGCAUAUGGGAGUUUUCUCAGCAGCUGUUCCCAGGAAAGGUGAUACAUUUGCAAGGGCAUGAGUGGUGCCAGGCUGAAAGUGUCACCAACCCCCUCACCUGGGAUGAUCUGUCCUGUGUUUGCAYUGGGGAUGUCAUCAGAGCCCAGGCAAGAGAGGUGGAGCCCGCAUUUGGUGUCACGAAAGAAAACAGAGUAGCAUGAGUUCACAGUGCACGUGCUUGCAAGUCUUGGAAUGAGAGUAAGUAACUGAAUCCAGUUUUGGAGCAUGACGGGAAAAUGACGUGCAUUUACCACCCCUCCUCCAAAGCAGAAGUGGUUAUGGUUCAAGAAAACCCCAAAAAAUCUGUUGGAAAGUGUGUCUGAACUCUGUGAAACAAUGUGCUCCUAUUAAAACACAGGUUAUUCCUGCCCAAACUUGAA